rnacentral:rRNA from 14 species
GUAAAGCGCGCGUAGGUGGUUUGUUAAGUUGGAUGUGAAAGCCCCGGGCUCAACCUGGGAACUGCAUCCAAAACUGGCAAGCUAGAGUACGGUAGAGGGUGGUGGAAUUUCCUGUGUAGCGGUGAAAUGCGUAGAUAUCUGAAGGAACAUCAGUGGCGAAAGCGACUUCCUGGACGAAUACUGACGCUCAUGUGCGAAAGCGUGGGGAGCAAACAGGAUU